GGCCGGCCUUAUACAUGCAAGUCGAGCGGACAGAUGGGAGCUUGCUCCCUGAUGUUAGCGGCGGACGGGUGAGUAACACGUGGGUAACCUGCCUGUAAGACUGGGAUAACUCCGGGAAACCGGGGCUAAUACCGGAUGGUUGUUUGAACCGCAUGGUUCAGACAUAAAAGGUGGCUUCGGCUACCACUUACAGAUGGACCCGCGGCGCAUUAGCUAGUUGGUGAGGUAACGGCUCACCAAGGCGACGAUGCGUAGCCGACCUGAGAGGGUGAUCGGCCACACUGGGACUGAGACACGGCCCAGACUCCUACGGGAGGCAGCAGUAGGGAAUCUUCCGCAAUGGACGAAAGUCUGACGGAGCAACGCCGCGUGAGUGAUGAAGGUUUUCGGAUCGUAAAGCUCUGUUGUUAGGGAAGAACAAGUGCCGUUCAAAUAGGGCGGCACCUUGACGGUACCUAACCAGAAAGCCACGGCUAACUACGUGCCAGCAGCCGCGGUAAUACGUAGGUGGCAAGCGUUGUCCGGAAUUAUUGGGCGUAAAGGGCUCGCAGGCGGUUUCUUAAGUCUGAUGUGAAAGCCCCCGGCUCAACCGGGGAGGGUCAUUGGAAACUGGGGAACUUGAGUGCAGAAGAGGAGAGUGGAAUCCCACGUGUAGCGGUGAAAUGCGUAGAGAUGUGGAGGAACACCAGUGGCGAAGGCGACUCUCUGGUCUGUAACUGACGCUGAGGAGCGAAAGCGUGGGGAGCGAACAGGAUUAGAUACCCUGGUAGUCCACGCCGUAAACGAUGAGUGCUAAGUGUUAGGGGGUUUCCGCCCCUUAGUGCUGCAGCUAACGCAUUAAGCACUCCGCCUGGGGAGUACGGUCGCAAGACUGAAACUCAAAGGAAUUGACGGGGGCCCGCACAAGCGGUGGAGCAUGUGGUUUAAUUCGAAGCAACGCGAAGAACCUUACCAGGUCUUGACAUCCUCUGACAAUCCUAGAGAUAGGACGUCCCCUUCGGGGGCAGAGUGACAGGUGGUGCAUGGUUGUCGUCAGCUCGUGUCGUGAGAUGUUGGGUUAAGUCCCGCAACGAGCGCAACCCUUGAUCUUAGUUGCCAGCAUUCAGUUGGGCACUCUAAGGUGACUGCCGGUGACAAACCGGAGGAAGGUGGGGAUGACGUCAAAUCAUCAUGCCCCUUAUGACCUGGGCUACACACGUGCUACAAUGGGCAGAACAAAGGGCAGCGAAACCGCGAGGUUAAGCCAAUCCCACAAAUCUGUUCUCAGUUCGGAUCGCAGUCUGCAACUCGACUGCGUGAAGCUGGAAUCGCUAGUAAUCGCGGAUCAGCAUGCCGCCCGUGAAUACGUUCCCGGGCCUUGUACACACCGCCCGU
rnacentral:rRNA from 1 species